CCCACAUCUACUUGUCUGACCAGCCUCGGCCCCUGAGCGUUUGAGGCCCCAGUCCCUGCCACCUACUGUCAUCUGCUCGUGUGCAUGGAGGGGAGAGGCCCAGCCGCCCCUCACUCUGGGCUUCACUCGAGCUGGGGCAGAGCAGAAGUGGGGCAACUCCUAUUGGCCCCCCAACCUCUUCCCCUUGACCCAGGCAUGGAGGUCCUGGUUCCACUCCUGGGUGUACCAGAGCCUCCACACCUCUCUCGUCAGAAGUCCAGGACCUGCCAUGUAGCAUUGGAAGGCUCAACGCCAUGCUUCUUAAACACCACAUGAAACAAGGCUGUAGAUGCAACAUGAGAUUAAAGGCUGAACCUCGUCCAGACCCUGGAGAUUGCAGAGCCCCUUCCAAGUCUCAAACCCAAUGGUUUCAAUCCAGAACAUGGACGUUCAGAGGGAACUCCAGCCAGAUGAAGGAAGGUGGCAGCCCUGCCCACUCCCCCCCUUCUCAGAGACCCUGGGGUUCCAGUUCCUCCUCCAGUCCUGGCCAGCCCUAAGUUGUGGCCACAGGUCAGUAGUCCUUGUUCUGAGAAUGAGCAGGAGUCCAGAGAGGCCAGUGGCUAUCGACCUAGUAUGACCAGCACUAUGCUUCAAGGUUGUGAAGCCUCUGAAUCCCUUCUGUGAACCUGUAGCAAGCUGAGUUCUGGCCUGAAGAGAAAUUGCUUAUUUUAAGCCUCCACUGAAAAGCAACGGUAACAGGCCUGCUGUAAGAACAAAAACUGUCACUUAGCUGAGUGGGUCAGUGGGGCUUUCAACAACACAUUGACAUUCUCGGGAAUAAGCUUCAUCAACUGAAGGUCUGUGAUUUUGUUUAAAAUACGUGUUGUACAAUGACGCCUACACCAGUAGUUCCCAUGAAGUUCUUUUUGUUAAAAUAA